rnacentral:lncRNA from 1 species
GCUGUAUUGUGUGCACUUAUUAUUCUUGGAGCUGGUGGUGAUGUGACAACGAUAAAUGGGAAUGAAUGCGACUAUGUUAUUUUUGACCCUGGCUAUGUCCAGUUGGAGCAUCCUUCUCAGAUCAGAUGGUACAAGGGAGGCACGCUCUUAAAGCAGGGGACACAUGGCAGCACUGGGAUACCUUGUCAGAGGGGUUGUAGGUGACUGCGUUGCUUUUCCCCUGGCCUGCCUGCGGUCAGCUGGGUACAUCCAUGCCAUCUGGAAGAAAGACGGACAGCGAGUGGCUCAGAUCAGAAGGAAAUCGGUGAACGCCUUAGAUGUCUACUGCAAGAGGGCCCAUGUGUUCUCCAACGGCAGCCUAAGUCUUUGCCCCACGGAAUGGAGAGAUCAGGGAGAGUAUGUAGCAGAAGUGUAUCAUCAGGAUGGCUUGCAUUUGCAUCAGAUUUUUCACCUGGAACUGAAGAAAGUGGAAAUACUUCAAGAUAUCACAGAAUUUAUGGGUGGAUCCAUAUUCCUGAAUCUAACAGAGAUGAUGCCGGAACACUUCUUCCAGGUAGUCUGGAAAAAGGAAAACACGGAAGUGGCUUGGACAAAUGGCUCUUGGUUUUGGUACCAUGGAGAAUACAUUAACAGGUCUGAGAUUGUGUCUAGUCACAGCCUGAGACUAGACAAGAUUGAGACAAGUGACCGUGGCAGGUAUUCUAUAGAAGUGAAAGACAGAGAUGGCAGAGUUGUGUACGAAGGCAUCACUAAUGUGAAUGUUGAGCAAAAGGACACACUUGGAAGAAAUCCUUCUCUUUAUGUUCUCAUAGCAUCGGCAGCUGUUAUAGUUACUAUUUUAUUGGUUGCACUGAUAAGGGGUUUUCAGAAGCCCGGGCACAGGACAGCAGUGCCAGUCCUACAGCAUUCAAGCUUGAGACUAAGAGAUGAUAGAGACUAUCCUGAGCAACAAGAACGGUCUGAAAAUGGUGAGUAUAUUUCAUUAUGUGCCUUCCUAUGGGUCACAGACAGGGAUCUAAGAGUGUAAUGUGGCUUGUCUGAGUUUGGGUUCAUGAGGCAUGAUUGUCUUAUGCAAGCAGAGUACUGUAAUCAAGGGGAACUUUUUCUAACAUAAAAACAUCUGAAAUUUGAAAGAUCCAAAGACAGCACUUUGAGCUGCCGACAGCAUUAAUACUAGGAUAAUUACAUGUGUGCUGCACUAAGACUAUGCAGAUAAUGAAAAACUAUCUAGAUAAUGAGUUGUUUCUGCAAUCUCAGAUCCUUCUUCUGCCCAGCGUAGUGGGCUGUGUUCUCUUUAACGCUGUGCAAACUUGUGGAUCUUGGUAGCUCCUCACUGCAUGGGGACUGCUGGUGCUUUUGCCUGUUCUUCCACUUGCUCUGCACAUUUGUUAGGCGUGACACUUUUUGGGCAGAGGGGCUUGUUCAGAUCAUGUAGGGCAGGUUUCUCUCCUGUCUUAACUGCAGCGAUCCUUCCAAUUUGCUGUUGGCCAGCAGUCCUGCUCCCACUAGCUCAGUAUGGAGGGAAAGAUCCAUUUGCAUGUUGCUGCCUCAGGCAUGACUGGGAUAUUCUGGGUGUUCUCCAUCUGUCAUCGCUGGGUGUGAGAAAGUCCAGAGCUGGGGCCCGUGCCAUCAGAAAGAAGAGGUACAAACUGAGCCAGGGUUUGUUUGCAGGGCGAGGGGAGUAGGCACCCCAGGAAGGCAGCAGGACUGUGGUAUCCCAAGGCCCUUACCUGUCCAGGUAGCAGAGUCCCCUGCGGUGGGGUCAGUCUGUGCUUGUGGGUGCCCCUGUGAAGCUGCAAGGGAGCGUGCACUGUGAGCUCUAGCUUGGAGUGUCAUGGUGUCUCUGCUGGCAGCUGGCCACUUGGUUACAACUCAUGUAAAGAAAAUCAGUGAGACAGCCUUUAAUUUAAGGCAGUCCUGUUCACACGUGUUCUUUGACUGCUUCUGCCACCAGUGCCAGCCUUUGCCACUUGCGGCCCUGUCUCUUUCCUGUGUUGUCUUCACUGUCUUGCCUAGUUGUUGGCAUUGAGGAGAUUUCUGUUCAACUGACUUUUUCCUCCAGCUGAAGAAAGACCCAAGUUGCCAAAGCUGAAAGGCAGGAAAGCUGCAGAGCCUCGUACUUCAGUUCACGAAGUGUGUGGCGUCCCCAGCGUUGAGAACAGCAUCCGUCCAGCAUUUGAGGACUGCAUUCCACCCGAUGUUGAUUAUCCCGCUCCCCCGGUGAUUGACAGUGCUCCUGCAGAAUCUGAGGAGUUCCCUCUUCCAGGGUUUGAGGACUCGAAAGACAAAGACUGUGCUGUUAAGGACAAUGCAUACCAUGCAUCUUCAAGGUGCAAAGCAUCCUGGAAAUGCAGUGAAAGAAGCAAACCCACUGUGUAUGCUUCGAUCAGAACAGGGUACGCAGAGGACAAGCCUGGAGAUUUGGAAUUGAGUUCUUACUAUCAGAUUUGCCAGGAAACAUGUUAACAGUAUUAGACUGAGGUUUGGAUUCUUCCCUUCUCUCAGCUGGCUUUGAGCUAACAUUGCAGUUCUGCUGUUGCUCAGAUGAAUCUGCUGCUUCACAUGCUUAGAAGAAUUGGUAGAAGCCUGAAGAGAAGUGUCUCUGGGGAUUAGCUUGUUUUCCAGUGAUAAGCCCUUCUCUACCCUUUGUGCUUCGGAAGGUCUUCCAGGAGGACCCCUUAGAAACUCCUUGGAGAAGAGGCAUGGUAACUAACUGUGAGAGGAGUUGAGCUGAGCCUCUGCCUCUUUGCUUCUGUUAAAAGGCCCCACUGAAGAAAAGCAGGACCUUGGGGAUGUCCGGAGGCCAUGUCAGGCCCAGACCUCAGUCCCCAUUUGUUGUGUGGUCCAUGCACCUGUGUAAAUGCACAGGGAAGAGGAUGAACACCCUAACAGCUUGUUGGACGUGGGCAGCUUGCCAAGCCUUCAUCUGAUGUAUGAUGGUACGAAAGGUGCAGUGUAACUCAGUAGACUUGGAUGUGAUUUCACUGUAGUGUUUGCUAGACAGCACAUUAAGGAACUUUUUAUUUAUUUUUUUUUUUUUAGGAGGAAAAAAGAAAUGCAGAGAAACCAGAACAUUGCUAGCAAAGGGGUAUAGCCAUAUCUGUAAUUAACAAGGCUGUUCAUUAACGGCAAUUAGAUGUGCUUUCUUCAAUACCUGUAUUAAAUUGAAUCUCAAAUGGCGUGUAGUAAUUUUUGUGAAUGUUUUUUGUAUUACAGCUGUAAGGUGCUGCUUGUAGGUUUCAUGAAAUAUCUUUCCUUAUGGAAUGCCGAAUAAAAGUAUUUUCUCUUAUAACUGAAGAGCUGUU